GCGGGUAUAGUAUAGUGGUAGUACGGAACCCUUCCAAGGUUCAAGCACGGGUUCAACCCCCGUUACCCGCU
rnacentral:tRNA from 1 species